rnacentral:rRNA from 1 species
AUGCAUCUCCUAAGAUAUGUUGUGUCAAGGCUUUGUUGGCAGCAUGUAACUAAGGUAAAUGCGGUAUUAGGGCCAUCAAUAAGGGUGUGCAAGCUGUGCGACCGCAAAGGCCCCCAAAAUCUUACCCUUGUAGUGGAGGAGAAGAACUCGGUAGGGAAACCUCCAUGCCUUGAUUUUUCGAUUCACCCUUUAUACAUGGUGGAACUGAAGAAAAAACUUGUAGCAGCGCCAUGGAAACUUUCUUUGAAACUCCGAUGGUCGGGGUGGAGAAGAAAGAAAGGAGGAAAAAGGCAUGAAGCGUUAUUGGGCUCAUGGAGUAAUGGGCGUAAUAUUGUUUCGUAA